UACAGAGGUCUCAAGCGUUGUUCGGAUUCAUUGGGCGUAAAGGGUGCGUAGGCGGCGCGGUAAGUCGGGUGUGAAAUCUCGGGGCUUAACUCCGAAACUGCAUUUGAUACUGCCGUGCUUGAGGACUGGAGAGGAGACUGGAAUUUACGGUGUAGCGGUGAAAUGCGUAGAUAUCGUAAGGAAGACCAGUGGCGAAGGCGGGUCUCGUGGA
rnacentral:rRNA from 1 species